rnacentral:rRNA from 1 species
GUGCCAGCCGCCGCGGUAAUACGGAGGGUGCAAGCGUUGUUCGGAAUUAUUGGGCGUAAAGCGCGCGCAGGCGGUCGGGAAAGUCUAUGGGUGAAAUGCCGGGGCUCAACCCCGUGCAUGCCCAGGAUACUGUCCGACUGGAGACACGUAGAGGCAAGCGGAAUUUCGGGUGUAGCGGUGGAAUGCGUAGAUAUCCGAAAGAACACCGGAGGCGAAGGCGGCUUGCUGGGCGUGAUCUGACGCUGAGGCGCGAAAGCGUGGGGAGCGAACAGGAUUAGAAACCCUCGUAGUCC